rnacentral:rRNA from 1 species
GGCGGACGGGUGAGUAACGCGCGGGAAUAUGCCCUUUGGUACGGAAUAGCCUCUGGAAACGGAGAGUAAUACCGUAUGAGCCCUUCGGGGGAAAGAUUUAUCGCCAAAGGAUUAGCCCGCGUUAGAUUAGGUAGUUGGUGGGGUAAUGGCCUACCAAGCCUACGAUCUAUAGCUGGUUUUAGAGGAUGAUCAGCAACACUGGGACUGAGACACGGCCCAGACUCCUACGGGAGGCAGCAGUGGGGAAUAUUGGACAAUGGGGGCAACCCUGAUCCAGACAUGCCGCGUGAGUGAUGAAGGCCUUAGGGUCGUAAAGCUCUUUCGCCUGUGAAGAUAAUGACGGUAGCAGGUAAGGAAACCCCGGCUAACUCCGUGCCAGCAGCAGCGG